GUUAGGGUCACUUGGGUCAAGGAGAGGAUCGAGAGAGGGUUAAGAGAGGGUAAGGGGAGAGGGUCGAGAGAGAAGUUGCAGAGUCAGCUGUCAAACAAGCAUCUCAAGUUUUUCUCAGUUCUUAGUAGAACAAACUUCCACCAUCGAAGAUCCAUUUAAGGUUUUCUUUGUUCCAGUCAUCAGAUCAAGUGCAAGGUCAAAAGUUGUUAGGGUUUCAAGCCACUCGCCAUCAAAAUUUUUCGUAGUUCUAAGGGGAGCGCAACUCUCUGUUAGUUCCGCCAUUGAAGCAACCAAGAGAUUUUGGAUUGAGAGUUUUGAAUGAAGCCUAUGCUUUACUUGGAGAAAAGGUUGUCAAGGUGAAAAUGAUGCAUCUAGCAGCAGAGACAAUGCUAUAACAACACCAAGUUUGGCAGAUUCGUUCUUCAUAACAGCACCAAGAAGGUGACAACGAUGUCAUCCUUCUUUGUUCUCAACAAGUCUCUCCUUGCUCAUAGUAGUCCUUACUUCCCAAUUACCUAAAAAUCGUCCUAAAAUCUUUCAACCUCUCCCCCUAUCUAAAUACUCUCUUAAAUCUUUCUAAAGUAUUUAUAUUUCUAACUCAUCCCAUGUUUAUCUCUUAUUGGGAUAGGGAAUUUAUCUCUAUUUAUCAGCACUAUCCAUAAUUUUUUUUACUUAUGCCACAAACUGAUUUUAUUGUCAAUUUCAACUUAAUGUCUUUAUGCUAUAUACUUAAUUUUGCUCAUUGCUACAUAUAAUGAAUGCUAUUUUUGUAUUAUUUCUCUUAUUUCUCAUACACUUACAAUAUGAAAUAUGUAUUUUUUUC